rnacentral:lncRNA from 1 species
UCUUGAUUUGCUACUUCCUGGAGUUCCAUGUCACAGCUAAUCUGUAGUGCAAUCUCCUCACGAUCAGUACUCUUUCUAUAGCCAUCCAGAUGCAAAUUGCAGAAACUUGUGCUAAUUCUGAAGUCAUCUUUGCUUAUCUUGCAGUUUCAGUUUCACUAAUUGUCAUUGUUGACACUCUAUCUAAUGGAGAUCUUUUGAUCUUUGUUGUCAAGCACUCAACAAAGGACUUUGAGGGCAACAGCUGAAAGAGCGGUGUAAAUUCUGGUCAGUUGAAGGAUUUCCUCGUAAGAAGCUAAUUGGUUCAUUUCAAAGAAACUAAAAGUUGUGCAGUCUUUGUCUUGGUUGGAACUGAAGCUGAAAACUUGUAAUCUUCUGAUCCAGUGAGACUUUGUUGCUUGAUUUAACACGAUUGAUAUAACUUAGUUAAGGUUAAUUGUAAUAUAUUUCUGUCGUGAUUUGCUUUACUCUCUUUUUUAACAAUCCAUUAUCGAUGUUUCUCAACCAACCCACUAACUGACUCUGCAUUUUUGUUUCUCAACCAACCCUCCAAACUCUACUAUUUCCACGUCCA